GCGCUUGCAUUCUGCGCAUGCGCAGGCUGUUCUCGCCCGUAGAAACCCGUGGCCCCGCAGGCGCCCGGGGGCGCUGGUUGGCUGGGGUCUGCGUGUGGCGGGUUGGGCGCUUGAGUGCUGGGGAACACUCGGAAGUCGUUUUAGCCCCGUUCUGUAUUUUCUUUUAUUAUUGAAUCCUAAAACAGCCCGAAGAAGGCGGGGGGGGGGGGGGGCGUAAGGAUUAGGGAUGCUUGCCUCCCAUUCAGAGAUAAGGAAACUGAGGUUCAGAAAGGCUGCCAGACACCAUGAAUCUAUGACAGCGUCCCUUGUUGUCUCUUGCCUCCUUUUCUCUCCCAGCAAAUAUAAUCUGGGGGCACCUGGGCCCCACCAGACCGGCCUCUCUGAUCACACUCAAGGAUUAACAAUCAGCUGUACUGUGGGCAGAUGCCCUGUCUCACAUACAGAGGAUCAAAAGGCUGGUUUGAGAAGGGAGUUCGUUUCCUGACCGGCCUCCAGGUCCUGUGAGGUCCAACCACUGACCACUGCUCCCCACUCAGCUGCAGCCACACUGGCCACUUUCUGCUUCUCAAAUGUGCAUACCUUGUCCUCACCUCUCAUGGGUUGAACUGCAUCUCUCCCCAAAAUAUCUAGAAGCCCUUGGAACCUGUGAGUGGGAUCUUAUUUGAAAAUUAGGUCUUUACAGAUGUAAUUUAAGGAUCUGGAGAUGAGGUCAUCCUGGAUUUAGGGUGGCCAUAACCCCAAUGACUUGGUGUCCUUACAAGAAGGCCAUGUGAAGACACACGCACACAGGGAGAACUCUGAUGGGGGAGACAGGGGUUGGGGGAGGCAGCCACCAGCCAAGAAUUACCAGCAACCACCAGAAGGUGAAAAAGGUGAGGAAGGAUCCUCCCCUAAAGACUUCAGAGAGAACACGGCCCUGCUGACACCUUCAUUUUGGAUCUCUAGUCUCCAGAAGUGUGAGAAGAUACAUUUCAGUUGUUCUAACCCUCCCCCCCCCAUUUAUGGUAAUUUAUUACAGGAGCCCAAGGACACUAACACAUCAUCUCAGGGCCUUUGCAUGUCCUGAGCGCUUCUUUUUUUUUUUUUUUUCCUUUAUGUUUAUUUAUUUAUUUUUGAGGGAGACAGAGACAGCAUUGAGUGGGGCAGAAAGAGAGGGAGAGAGAAAAUCCCAGGCAGGCUCCACGCUGUCAGCACAGAGCCUGAUGUGGGGUUCAAACUCACGAAACCACGAGAUCAUGACCUGAGCCCAAACCAAGAGCCAGAGGCUUAACCGACAGAGCCACCGAGGUGCCCCCCGAAUUCUUCUUUCAACUCUUCACCUGAUCGAGGCCAGUUCAUCCCUUGAGCCUCAGCCCGAGAGGACACGUCCAUCGACAUUCGGUCCCGGCCGACGCUGACUCUGAGUGCACCCACCACCUUCCCCAGCAGCUUGUAACUGCCUAGGCAUUUGCUUGCCUACAGGUUUAACACUUGCCCCGCCUAGAAGGUACUCCUCAGUGGGCGGGGGCUGUGUCUGCUUUUGCUCACCGCGGUGGAUGAUGGCAGCCCCCUCCCCUGAAGGACUGUUUGUAGAGCCUCUCCCCGGCUGCAGAGAGCCGCCUUGCCCAGGUCCUACCCUACCGUUUUGGCCUCGAUCCACCGACUGCUUGGUGUGGGGGGUUGUAGAGUCUCGGCCUCCUUGCCCUAAUUAGGGGCAACCCCGGAGUUUUGGCCGCUCUUCAAAAUUCUUUGCGAGGUCUGCGAGGUCUCUUCUGACACUGCAGUCCAGCCGGGCUCAUCCUUCCGGCCCUUCCUGCUCCUUCCCUGUCCUUGCCCGGGUUCCCCCCCGGAUCCCAAGAGCACCCCCUCAUGAGCCCGCUUGUACUAAACUCCAUCUCAGACUUGGUGUCCUGAGAACCCCAUGCACAAGGAUGUCCCGACGCUGGGUGCACGCGGGAGAACGGUACCAACUGCAUAAAAACAGUUGUUUGUGGUAAAUGAAUGAACUUGAACUGCUGUGGUCCUUCCACCCCCUCCAGGUGCCUGCCCUUAGCAUCCCAGGCCAGUCACCCUUGUCUGCCUCCCUUUCUUUCUUUCUUUCCUUCCUUCCGUCCUUCCUUUUCUAGUAACGAUCUCCUAAGCCAACAGGUGGCACACUUUUUCUGUAAAGGCCGAACUAUUUGGGCUUCAUGAGCCACGAAAGUCUCUGUCACAACCACUCAGUUCUACCAUCGUGAGCAGCCACAGACAAUACAUAAGUGAAUGAGUGUGGCUGUGUUUAUUCCAAUAAAAUGUUAAUGACGAGGCAAGGGGCCAGAUUGCUAACUGCUGGCCCCGAUUUACUUUAGUGGCUCUAAGGCACUGUCACUCUGUUCCCUCUGCUUAGGUGUCAACCCUCCGAAAAUAGAAAAAGCAUACUUAGCUUGCAGGUCAUACAAAAGCAUGCCAUGGGCAAUACAUGGCCCAUGGGCCAGUUUGCCAACACUUGCUCCAGAUAAAUAUUUUAUUCAAGUGCACGUAUGGACAUUUUCAAAGCUUUUUAAAAAAAAAAAAAAGUUUUUAUUUAUUUUUGAGGGAGAGAUGCAGUGGGGGAGGGGCAGAGACAUACAGAGACAGAAUCCGAAGCAGGCUCCAGGCUCCGAGCUGUCAGCACAGAACCCGACGGAACAUGACCUGAGCCGAAGUCGGAUGCUUGACCAACUGAGCCACCCAGGUGCCCCUAAACUGGCUCAUUUAAACCUCACAAUAACCCAGUGAUGUGGGUACAUUUAUUAACUCCAUUUUACAGAUGAGGAAACUAAGGCAUAGACAGGGGAAGUGACUCAACCAAGCUCACUCAGGAAGUAGGAGGUGAGAAAUCAGAGCCUGUGUCCUAUUCGCUGCAGCACACGGCGUAGAAGCCGCUCCCAGAACUCAGGGUCAAGCUCGAUGCCUCCU